rnacentral:rRNA from 1 species
GGGCUUGACAUCCCACGAACCUGCUGGAAACAGUGGGGUCAGUUCGGCUGGAUCGGAGACAGGUGCUGCAUGGCUGUCGUCAGCUCGUGUCGUGAGAUGUUGGGUUAAGUCCCGCAACGAGCGCAACCCUCGUCCUUAGUUGCCAUCAUCCAGUUGGGCACUCUAGGGAGACUGCCGGUGUCAAACCGGAGGAAGGUGGGGAUGACGUCAAGUCAGCAUGGCCUUUAUGUCUGGGGCCACACACGUGCUGCAAUGGCCGGUACAAACCGUUGCGAGCCCGCAAGGGGGAGCUAAUCGGAGAAAGCCGGUCUCAGUUCGGAUUGCAGGCUGCAACUCGCCUGCAUGAAGUUGGAAUCGCUAGUAAUCGCGGAUCAGCACGCCGCGGUGAAUACGUUCCCGGGCCUUGUACACACCGCCCGUCACAUCACGAAAGCCGGCUGUACUCGAAGUCGCUGAG